GAAAUUCUGUCUAGGGGCCUGAUUAAAAACAUGUUGAAACUUGGAGGACCAGAAUGAAAACCUGCCGCCCUGACCAGAAACGACGCCGUUUUUCAUUUCUGGUCAUCGUCUUCUUCCUCUUAGAACACAAGAAACUCCCUGCAAAGAAGGAGAGGAAGAACAUUAAUUGCCACCACAAUCGAACGAACAAUCUCCACGAUUUCUAUCGUCAUUUCUCA
rnacentral:lncRNA from 1 species